rnacentral:tRNA from 1 species
CGGAGCGUAGCUUAGCCUGGUAAAGCGCCUGCUUCGGGAGCAGGAGACCGGAGGUUCGAAUCCUCUCGCUCCGACCA